AGACAUGGCCGACGGGGCUGAAAUUGUAGUAUCUGUUCUCAUGAGCUCAAUAUCUGAUACGCGUUCUAUUUGGACCUAAGACAAUAAACUUAUUUUUGCGGGUUGGUGAAGUGCUCGAAGCCUGCUUCACCUCCGCCGCGGGGCGACCAGUUAUUGCGCUUUCUUCGGGAUCGGUCCACAUACC